rnacentral:rRNA from 1 species
GACGAACGCUGGCGGCGUGCUUAACACAUGCAAGUCGAACGGAAAGGCCCUGCUUUUGUGGGGUGCUCGAGUGGCGAACGGGUGAGGAACACGUGAGUAACCUGCCCUUGACUUUGGGAUAACUUCAGGAAACUGGGGCUAAUACCGGAUAGGAGCUCCUGCUGCAUGGGGGGGGUGGGAAUGUUUCGGCGGUUGGGGAUGGACUCGCGGCUUAUCAGCUUGUUGGUGGGGUAGUGGCUUACCAAGGCUUUGACGGGUGGCCGGCCUGAGAGGGUGACCGGCCACGUUGGGACUGAGAUGCGGGCCAGACUCCUACGGGAGGCAGCAGUGGGGAAUAUUGCACAGUGGGCGGGAGCCUGGUGCAGCGACGCCGCGUGCGGGGUGACGGCCUUCGGGUUGUAAACCGCUUUCGCCUGUGACGAAGCGUGAGUGACGGUAAUGGGUAAAGAAGCACCGGCUAACUACGUG